AAGAUCUUGCUGACAUCACAAAAGAUGAUAUUCUGAGUGGGUGCCUGAUACCUUGGCACAUCUCAUGUGGAAGAUAAUGCUUUCACCCAUGGAUGAGGAUGAGAGGAGCAGCAAGUUUUGAAGGCCAGUCAUGGCAACAUGUGAACACUAUGUCAGAGGAUUAUACAGAGUAAUGCACUGAUGAGGAGCUUACAUCCGUCAAAUGGAGGAGUGUAGCAACACUAGAAAUUUGGAAGAGCAGCCCCCAACUAUCCACAAUGAGCACGUGAUAACAUCACAAGAAGAGCAACCAACUCCUCCUUCGGGCAGCCAGAGAACAGCCAUUGAAUACCCAGCCUUGGAUUCUUCUUUGCUACCACAAGUUCCCAUAGGUGCAAACCCUACGAGUGAGAGAGCACAAUAUUCUGCAAGAGGGGAACCAGCUAUACAUGUCCCCCCACCCGUUCAAAAUUCAACACUUGCCACUUGCCGGCAGAUUUUUGGCCUCCUUGGCCAGAUCACUGUACAGCAGGAUGGCAUCUUGAGAGAACUACGUGCAAUGCGCAGAGAGAUGCGGUUCAUGAAAGGUGAACAACGUCGGACCAAUGCUAGGAUGAUUUCGAUGGCACAUGACCUUGAAGAACUCAAGGAACAUUUUCUGUAGGAGUAUGGGCUGAAGUAAUUACUUCCACCAUAGAUGCAGCUUCUGCAAACUGUUAAGAAACUUUGAGUGCAUUUGUUUCUCCAUGGAUGUUCAUUCAUGUUUAGUAAACUACUUGCUGCAUAAACUGUCCACUGAUGCUGCAUUUUAGCGUGAACCUGAAAAUUCAGAAUCAAUAUUCUAUGACUCAAUGAUGCCAAGCAUAUAUUUCUGUGGCCCUAUGAAUCCUGCUUUGCUAGAGAGAGAUCAGAGAAGGUAUAAAGAGCAAGGUCGGCACGGAGGGGCUCCUCCUCCUUUUUCUCCAGUGGGAUGGCGAGGAGUCAUGGGAGGUGCUUGGAGAUAGAGGUGCACAUGGUGGGAGGAGGCAGGUCUCCCCUCUCCUCCCCCUUUUCUUCUCUUUCCCUUUUUCUUUUUCUUACCUCUUCCAGGUUGGCACGAAGGGGCUCCUCUUCCUCUAGUGGGAUGGUGAGGAGUCACAGGAGGUGCUUGGAGGCAGAGGUGCAUGCGGCGGGAGGAGGUGCCCCCUCUUUCUCCCCUUCUCUCUCUCUCCCUUUUUCUUUCUCUUGCAUCCCUCUUUGCCUCCCUUUCUCUUUUCUAUCCCUUUCCUAUCUUUCUGUCUUCAUUCUCCUUUCUCUUCCCUUCUUUCUACCCCUUCUCUCCCUCACUUCUUGUCUCUUUUCCCCCUCUAUCCCUCCCUUUUCUAUUGAUAAUUCUUACUCUUCUCUUUACUCCUCUGUCUUCCUCCCUUUCACACCUCCCUUUCUUUCUAUCCCCCCUUUUCUCUUUCUUUUCUCUUUCUGUUACUAUCCCUUUCCUUUUCCUUCUCUCUUGCUUUAUAUCUUUCUUCCCUUUCUCUUUCUCUCUUGUGCCUCUUUCUCCCUUCCCUUUCUUAUUUCUUUCCUCCUCUUUCUUCCUUCUCUUUCUCUCUCUUGUGCCUCUCUUUUUAUCUUUCCUUCUGGAGCCGCCCAACAUAGCCUGAACCUCAGAGGUGCCUGCAUGGAGCAGCACUGCACAGGCAGAGGUGAACCAGAACAAACACCCAGCUUGUGUCAAACAGUUUAAUUAAAGCAGCACUUACUGUCUGGCUGUUUUCAUACUCCAAAUGUAAAGCAAAGAUAGAACUCAGACACAAUAUAAAACAAAACUGGUAGCAAACACCAAUGCAGGUUCGAGAAAACACUGUAGUCAAAAAGGAUUCGUCCAGUAGUCAAAUGCUGAGAGUUCAAUAAUUAAAUUCCAAGGAUCAAGAGUCUUUACCAUAGUCAGUAACCAGUCCAGUGGUCCAAGGUUCCAGGGUUCCAAGAGUUCAGGACACAGGUCAGGAUACCGAAAAUCCACAAACCUGGGAGGAAAACCAGCAGCAUCCACAACCAAAGUAGGACAAAUACUUUUCACCCUAAGAUCAGUCUCCAGGAUAGCUCCUUAUAACCAGUUCCACUUAGCUGCAUCCUAUCUCUGGUAUACGUCCAUUCUUAAUUAUUUUCAUCUGUAACUUUUACUUACAGAUUACCCAGCGCUUUAGAACUAAGAUUUACAUUAACCCUUUACAUCACCAGCUACUAGACCUGACACCACCAACCACCAUUAACUGCAGAACAUGAUAAAUGACAGGUACCUGUGACGGUGGUGAUGGAGAUGGCAGCAAGGGAAACCUCCCUGAUGAGUCCAGGCCCAGGCCCUGCUGCAAUGCUGCCAGUACCCAUUUUUUGCCACAUGCUGGGGGGGGGGGGGUUGGGCUCAGUAGAGGCGCUGGCAGCCUGCUGUGGCUGCUGCCAGUGUACCUAGUGGGCUGGGCCGGACUGAGUGUGGGUUUCAUGGCGGUCGGCGUGGCCCUCUACCUGGGCUGGCAUGGCCAGCAGAGGAGCAAGGAGCAGUCCCUGUUGGCCAGGUCCUAGGUGAAGAGCACCUUGGAAUGGAGCCUGGGACAAAGCCAGCUGCUCGCCUGGGUCAGGUUCCCAGAUGUUGAGAAAGAUCUUUCCUUCUUUCUUUCUCUCUUCUUUCUCCUUCUUUUGUGACCCUCACCAUCAGAGCAGCCUUCCACUAAAGAUCCAGAUCCUUGUUCAAGUCUUUGGAAAUUUAUCCCUCCUCUUAAGCAUACACAGGCUGUCCCCAAGUUACAAACAAGAUAGGUUCUGUAGGUUUGUUCUUAAGUUGAAUUUGCAUGUAAGCCAGAAUAGGUACAUGUCUUAAGUGUAACUCCAGCCACACACACACACACACACACACACACACACAAGCUUUGAACAGCAUAGGGAAGGGUUAACACCCCUGUGGUGUUUGUUUAGCUGUGUCGCUGUUCAGAAGAUGUCACCUCACUUUCUGUCUUUGUGAGAAUUGGAUUUUGAAAAAAUUGAAAACAAGGAUUGGAGAUAAAGCUUCGGUGGAGACACUUUUCCCCUUGAUAACCCUUUCAGGAGUGAGCUUCCCUUCUUAGAAGUAGAUUCCUCUCCCUCCUUGUUGUCUCAACCCCAUUCUUAACUAGGAGUUGUUUGUAACUCAGGGAUGGCCUGUAAUCUGAAGAACAACAUGGACAGUCCUAAGGGAUGAAGUUAUGAAGUAGCAAUGAAAAUAAUUUUAUGGUUGGGGAUUAAAGAAUCACAGCAUUAGGAAGACUGAGAACCACUGUACUAGGCUAUAGUAUAUGUUGUAGGGAGGGAAUACACUCUUUAAAGCAUGCCUUAAAAUGCACCCACAGUCUGUAUUGGAUCUUCAUGUGGAUGCUUUUCCUUCAAAAUUGAAGAGUUCAUUACAUGUAUUUAAAAUAAUGUGGAUGCUUAUUGUAGUGCAGAAAUGUACUGGUAUUCAAACUGAUUUUUAUUAUUUUCACCUUUAAAAAAUAAGCAUGGUAGCAUACAAUCCUGAAUUUUCUAUACUGUAAAAUGAAUGUAUAGAAUUUUCUGUACAUUGCUAUAAAAUGUUAAGAAGUCCAGAAAAAUAAUAAUAUAGUAAAUGCAAAGUAUACUUCAUAGACAUAUAUUCCCAUUUAUGUUGCAGAUUAAAGUAAUCACAAAAUCCAAUGUGUACACAUAAAAGAGAUGCCCUCCCCAAUUAUCAGGCUUUGUCAGAUGCUUUCCAGUGUCCCUUGGGUAUGUAGUUUAAUUGUUGGUAAUAAGCAGCAUUCUUAAAUCGAUUCCAUAUAAAAAAGAACCCAUUUCUAUAACAAUUUUGGUUAUGGGUACCAAUAAUAUUGUAUUAUUGUGCAUGAGUCUAGGUGCUGGGAAGGUUUAGCUGUAUCAUCAGGCAGCAGAUGCUAUGAAUGGUCGAAACAGCCCUUCAAAUAUGUCUCCUCUGUUGGAAGAGCAAUUCUCUGCUGAGAACAAGAUUAUAUGUGACACAUAGUCCAUUUUACACAUCCUAAAUUGUCCUCAGGUAUGCCUGCUGAAGAAUACUGACCCAACACCAUGGUUAAAAAAGAAAUCAGCUAUGAGUCUGGUUUAUUUCUAUAGGUGGAAUAGGGGAGGUAUGCCUACUAUUUACAUCAGUAAUCUCAGGCUAGCCUUGGUUCUGAGACUGACAGGCAGUGGCUUGUUGAAGUCCAUCUAAGAUAUUCAAUGAUUCAUACACUUAGACCACUUGUUAAUACUGACUAGAGGAAAUUCAUUAAAUGAGUGGGAUUCCUUCAGAACACACAUAAAUCAAGUCCUGUCAAGGUAAUGAGUUUAUCCUAAUUGGUACUAAAAUUGGAUUCAGUUCUAUUCACUCCAUAUUUUGAAACCUAUGUUUUCAUCUUGACACCUCUUGACUGAUUGACAUCCAACAUCUGUCAGUCUGAUAACCGUGCUGAUAUGGACAACCCUUGCUGCUGUUUUGGCCCAUAACCAGUCUCAUUCUCUUGUUAUAUCUCUGUCACCAGUUAUAUGGAAUAUUGCAUAAAGUAUAUAUAGCUAGCAAUUGCCUCAGUUAAUUGACUGUAGAUUAUGUUCUACUAAUAUUGGUGCAUGAUUAAUUACAUUUUACUUUCACUGUUAUAACAGUAGCCUAUUGUGCUACAAAGGAAAUUGUAAAUGCACAGGUACAAGAACAUAAGUAUUUUUCAUACUCAAGUGUUUGGAUGUAAUCCAGCAUCAUAUGAGAGGACUUUAGUACCUACAAUAACAUUUCUAGCCUCGCCCAGCCUCUCCCCACAUUUUUGAUCUGCCUAGGAGAUUUGAGGGACUGCAGGCUGUUGAAAGAGAAGAAAUAAUACAUUCCUCUAGUCAAUUUUUCUGGCAUAUGAGACACAGCUGAACCCAACACUAGGUUUUUGGUAUGUUUUGUUUGUCUAAGCAUUUGUACAACUAAGCUGUCUUUGACUUAAUAGGAAAAUUGACAAAUAGCGAUGCAUGGCAAAGGACAAUCAACAUGGUGUGACAGACAUGCUGACAUGUCAUGCCUGUCAGCUGAAGAGAUGGAUUUCUUUUUAAUUUAAUGCCAAUUCUUUACAAUGGAUGCUGAUUAGCGAGGCCAAAAAUGCCUUCACAGUGGUGUUUGAUAUUAGAAAAUAUUUUUUCAUUGAACAUUCAUGGGAGGUGGAGGCUGCCUGCAAGUCAACAAUAAAUUUCUCCUCUUACUUAGCUUUCCCAGUAGUGCACAUUCCUGAGGAAUAACUCACUUGGUUGGGGAAGCUUUUGGCUUGCUGCUGCUGCUGAUGCUACUGGAAAGGACAGCUCUCUGGUAGAAUGAAUCAAAGUGUGCACCAUUCAGAGAGAGAGGGUGCUGUUCAUUUUCUAUCUCCACCACAAGCUAUUCAGCAACCCCCAACAAAUUUUAACAAUUGGUUUGGGCUGAGUUGAACAAGCUUCUCUUCACCACUGUGGAUAGGAAUGGGAUGAAAAUGCAAAUCUGCAUGCACAACUUUGAGGUGCACAGAUAAAGGGUUGAAGAACCUCAGUAGAAGAAAUUAUACAUGCAUGAGAAGCAUUUAUCACUGCUUCGAUACAGCAAUGACAAGACAUGUAUAGCAGAUAUGUGGUGUAGGGAAGCACAGCUAUAGCACCAGAGUUCCUGAGCAGUUUCUGGUGAACAUGUUGAUCUGUGAAUGGAAGCAUUCUUUUGUCAAUGUGUUGUUGAAGACUUUCAUGGCCAGAAUUACUGGGUUGCUGUAAGUUUUCCGGGCUGUAAUGGCCAUGUUCCAGAAGCAUUCUCUCCUGACGUUUUGCCCACAUCUAUGGUAGGCAUCCCCAGAGAUGUGAGGUCUGUUGGAAACUAGGCAAGUGGUGUUUAUAAAUCUGUGGAAAGUCCCACUUGGGAGAAAGAACUCUUGUCUGUUUGAGGCAAGUGUGAAUUUUGCAAUUGAUCACCUUGAUUUGCAUUUAAUGACCUUGCAGAUUUUUUUGUUAGUGGCGUUUGUUAGAGAACAUCACACUUUAAAUGACAAGCUUUCAUCUAGUUAAAUAAUCAUCUACUACUGAGCAAUUAAUGCAGCAGGAAAGUGCAAAUGCAAGUCAGUAUGAAUUCAAACAAUGGUGAGAUGCUGUAGCAGAUCCCAAAUGGAGGUGACUUACAAGUUGCUUGAAUUAAAUGAAUAUCAGUUAGCCAGGUAGAAUGGAAAUCUACGGCAACACCUUUACAAUUCAUCUCAACAUUCAGGUACACAAUCCUGUCUGGAAGAACACCAUGCUUCAGAGCAUUAAAUGGAAUUAUCAGCUCAUUGACUAAGAUUAAUGAACACAAUAUGAGACACAGUCAGGAAAAAGAAAUUAUUACAUCCCCUCAUUAGCUGUCUCAUUGACAUGACCUUGAUUUGAAACAAAUUUGAUUAUACCACUGUCAUAUAAACUGACACCAUUUCAAAUAGAUUAUUUCAGGAUCAUGGUAGAAAUAUAUUACUAUUUCAACAGAAAUCAGGUGUGAGUUAAGUAUUUAAUGGUGAUGUGAGAGGAAAAUAGUAGAAUAGCAAUUAUUCAAAUCUUGCUUUAGUAGUGUAAUUCAAAUUCACUGUGUAUCCGCUAUAUUUAUUUCAAUGCAAUGGCUUCAGACUGUAUAUAAUAGAGUAGAUACAAUAUAUUUAAGACUAGAAAAUGAAAUGUUAAAAAGAAAGCAAUAAUUGUCUAUAACAAUAAAUGUCUAAACACGACUUGUAAGGCAGUGAAAUUCUUGUGAAGUUUAGUUAAUUUAAAUUUAUUUCAAAAUUAGCAGUUUUUAUGCAUGAAAAUAUUAUACAUCUGCAACAGGUUGAGAUGGGGCUUGCAUUCAUUCUCUGGGUAGCAGUGAAUACAGAGUUUCAUUAGCAAAUGAUAUACAGUACAGUAUAAAAUAUGUUUUAAGAACACCAAA